rnacentral:misc_RNA from 1 species
CCUGCUGUCCCUCCACCACCUAUUCCCCAACAGAAUUUACCACCUCCAGCUCCACUUCCAAGCCAGUUACCACAGAGUCAGAUUACCUCUGUACCUCAAAGAGAGCUUUACUAUUCACCGCCUGGUCAAACGCAAGAACCUCCAAAUCCACAGUAUCAGGUAUCUCUAUCACAGCAGCCACAGCCCUCUCGUGCACCACCACCACAUCAUUCAUAUCAACUUGCCCCUCAACCACAGUACUCUCAGCCGCCCCAGUUGCCUCAACCCCAAACUCAACCAUUAGUUUCAGUAUGUCACCAUCCUGAAGAGGCACCUUAUGUUCCCUCUCAGAGUUACCCACCAAGCUUACGCCAGUCAUCCUCUCAGCCAGCUAGUGGGGCUCCUCCUUCCCCGCAGUUUUAUGGGGCUCCUUCACACAUAUUUGAACCACCAUCCAGUAGACCAAGUUCAGGGUUUUCAGCAGGAUAUGACCCACCUUCUGGGACUACUGAAUCUUAUCCUUAUGGCGGACCACCUUCUCAGUAUGGUAGCAAACCUCCAAUGAAACCACAGCAGCUCUCAUCUCUUGCUAUGUCUCACAGUGCUGGAAGUGGGUACCCUCAGCUUCCCACUGCUCGGAUAUUACCACAUGCAUUACCUACUGCUUCUGGGGUUGGUGGUGGUUCUAGUUCUUCUGGAACUGGAAAUAGGGUUCCCAUUGAUGAUGUGGUUGAUAAAGUGACAAAUAUGGGAUUUCCAAGAGAACAUGUUCGAGCAACUGUUAGGAAGUUGACAGAGAAUGGUGAAUCAGUUGAUCUGAACAUAGUGCUUGAUAAGCUGAUGAAUGAUGGAGAAGUCCAGUUCCAGAGAAGUUGGCUUGGUCGGUGACUUAUCCUUUUAUUCAUGCUGAUGUAUAGAAUUAUAACCUGUUUCAGGAUUGACUUUGCAGAGGGGGACUGUUUACUGGGAGAGGAUGGGUUAUUGUCCCCUGGCUGGAUUCUUCUUCCUUUCUCACAAUUCUUUUCUAGUUUAUCGGUUGUGUUAAAAUCUCUUUCAUACUUGUCUAGCUCUGCUUUGUGACUACCUGUCUUAAUCCGGGUCGUGAAUGCUCAAUAAUAUGAAGAGGUUUAUCAGUGUUCCAUUUGUUUAUUACUUGGUCUUAAUUCAGCACUUCAUCUCAUGUGGCGUAUGGUGGGGUGAGCACUUUUAGUGCAAAUCUUCAAUGGAUGAAGACAAAAUUUGAGUUGAGACUUUGAGAUUCGAGAGGUGGUGCAAGGGGAAGAUAAGAAUCGGCUUUGAGAGAACAUUCUUAGUUGUGGAUGAUGGAGGUUGGAUGGUCAGAAAAUUUAAGUGUCUGCUCUCUUCCCUUCAAAAUUUAUGCGGUAACUGGUAGUUUUUUCCAUGAGUGUGGA